UCUUCAGCCGCCGGCGUAAAUACGGAGGGUGCAAGCUUUUAUCGGAAUUUCUGGGCGUAAAGCGCACGCGGGCGGUCUGUCAAGUCGGAUGUGAAAUCCCCGGGCUCAACCUGGGAAUUGCAUUCGAAACUGGCAGGCUGGAGUCUUGUAGAGGGGGGUAGAAUUCCAGGUGUAGCGGUGAAAUGUGUAGAGAUCUGGAGGAAUACCGGUGGCGAAGGCGGCCCCCUGGACAAAGACUGACGGUCAGGUGAGAAAGCGUGGGGAGCAAACAGGAUUAGAUCCCCUGGUAGUCCACCCUGUAAACGAUGUCGACUUGGAGGUUGUUCCCUGAGGAGUGGCUCCGGAGCUAACGCGUAAGCCUACCGCCCU
rnacentral:rRNA from 1 species